GCGCAAACGCGCCGGCUCUUUCCAUGUGUCGUCAUUCGCUUCUUGUCCGCUCAGUACAGCGGAGCCCCUGGAUACUGCACUGACGCCGGUGCCCCGCGAUUUUUCGGAGCGGGUGCGCCAAGGAAACACAGCUUCAAAAAGUGCUCAAGGUGCAUGGAAGCACUUUAAACAAUAAGAAACCUAAUUGCCCGUGACUUCCAGAAUUGAUAUUCGUACGGCUGCAAGAAGGUGAUGGCAGGAUUAGCUCCAAGAUCUACAACAUCUGGGUGACAAGGAGGGCAGUGUGAGAAGAAAAUUGGGGGAAAAGUUUGCUCACACGGACAGCCAACGCCGCCCUGGUGGUUCAACUAAUGUCUUGUUCAAGAUGGCUGCCGUGGUACCGCAGCCUUUUAUCAUACGACCCAUUCUGUGAUUAGAGAGAGAAACCUCUGAACCUGAUUCAUCCAUGGGUGCAGCCUCGGCUUAAACUAUGCAAGCUGAAAAUGCAAGCUCAUAUGCUUAUAAAAUCUCUUCCAUAGCAUGAGUAUACACAGACACGUUUUUUUUACGAUACAGGCUGUUCUCCUUAGGCGUUACAGAUUUGUUUUUAAAAAGCCAAAAAAUCUACUUUAAUGUGGUCUGUGCAGGUGAGUUAUGCGGCUAGGCAGACAUAAUAUAGGGGGCUAAUCAACAUGACAAGUCGAAUAAUUUACUAAAAUUUGGUAGUUAACUUUUUUAUUGGUGAAAUUAAACAUAUGGUUCCAAUUAUAAACGUGCUGAACGUCAUCAAAAACCACUAAAUCAACAAUUUUUAGAAAUACUGAGUGCGUGGGAAGUGCAGUAGAGUGCCAAAGUUAGCACUUGUGCAACAGCCACAAGGCUGGCGGUACGAAAACACGGAUGAUAAAAGAUAAAAAAGCGCUCGGGCGCAUUAUUGCACCCGUGGCCUUGUGCCUGCUGCAUGAGUGGUAACUUUAGCACUCCAAUGUGCUUCCCACGCGCGCUAAGUCUUUCUAAAAUUAACUGAUUUAGUUGUUUGCAAUGAUGCUCGGCAAGUUUCGAUUUGGAACCAUUCAUUUAUUUUCACUAAAUAAAAAAUCAAUGAGCAUAUUUUAGUUAAUUAGCCAACUUAUUGUGACGAUUAGCUCCCUAUAUUAUGUCCUCCUGGCCAUAUAACUCGCCUGCACAGACUGCAUUCGUGUAGCUUUAACAGCAUAAAAAAAAUGCUAUUUCUAUUUGAAAGAAAGCAGCAUUCAAAAAUAUUCCC
rnacentral:lncRNA from 1 species